AGGGAAACCGAGUCUUAACUGGGCGUUAAGUUGCAGGGUAUAGACCCGAAACCCGGUGAUCUAGCCAUGGGCAGGUUGAAGGUUGGGUAACACUAACUGGAGGACCGAACCGACUAAUGUUGAAAAAUUAGCGGAUGACUUGUGGCUGGGGGUGAAAGGCCAAUCAAACCGGGAGAUAGCUGGUUCUCCCCGAAAGCUAUUUAGGUAGCGCCUCGUGAAUUCAUCUUCGGGGGUAGAGCACUGUUUCGGCCAGGGGGUCAUCCCGACUUACCAACCCGAUGCAAACUGCGAAUACCGAAGAAUGUUAUCACGGGAGACACACGGCGGGUGCUAACGUCCGUCGUGAAGAGGGAAACAACCCAGACCGCCAGCUAAGGUCCCAAAGUCAUGGUUAAGUGGGAAACGAUGUGGGAAGGCACAGACAGCCAGGAUGUUGGCUUAGAAGCAGCCAUCAUUUAAAGAAAGCGUAAUAGCUCACUGGUCGAGUCGGCCUGCGCGGAAGAUGUAACGGGGCUAAACCAUGCACCGAAGCUGCGGCAGCGACACUCUGUGUUGUUGGGUAGGGGAGCGUUCUGUAAGCCGUUGAAGGUGUGCUGUGAGGCAUGCUGGAGGUAUCAGAAGUGCGAAUGCUGACAUAAGUAACGAUAAUGCGGGUGAAAAACCCGCACGCCGGAAGACCAAGGGUUCCUGUCCAACGUUAAUCGGGGCAGGGUGAGUCGACCCCUAAGGCGAGGCCGAAAGGCGUAGUCGAUGGGAAACAGGUUAAUAUUCCUGUACUUGGUGUUACUGCGAAGGGGGGACGGAGAAGGCUAUGUUAGCCGGGCGACGGUUGUCCCGGUUUAAGCAUGUAGGCGGAGCGUUUAGGUAAAUCCGGACGCUUAUUAACGCUGAGGUGUGAUGACGAGGCACUACGGUGCUGAAG
rnacentral:rRNA from 2 species